rnacentral:rRNA from 1 species
GAUGAACGCUGGCGGCGUGCCUAAUACAUGCAAGUCGAGCGAACAGACGAGGAGCUUGCUCCUCUGACGUUAGCGGCGGACGGGUGAGUAACACGUGGAUAACCUACCUAUAAGACUGGGAUAACUUCGGGAAACCGGAGCUAAUACCGGAUAAUAUAUUGAACCGCAUGGUUCAAUAGUGAAAGACGGUUUUGCUGUCACUUAUAGAUGGAUCCGCGCCGCAUUAGCUAGUUGGUAAGGUAACGGCUUACCAAGGCAACGAUGCGUAGCCGACCUGAGAGGGUGAUCGGCCACACUGGAACUGAGACACGGUCCAGACUCCUACGGGAGGCAGCAGUAGGGAAUCUGCCGCAAUGGGCGAAAGCCUGACGGAGCAACGCCGCGGGAGUGAGGAAGGUCUUCGGAUCGUAAAACGCUGUUAUUAGGGAAGAACAAAUGUGUAAGUAACGAUGCACGUCUUGACGGGACCUAAUCAGAAAGCCACGGCGAACUACGU